rnacentral:rRNA from 1 species
GACGAACCGUCCAAACGUUAUUCGGAAUCACUGGGCUUACAGAGUUCGUAGGCGGUCUGGAAAGUUGGGUGUGAAAUCCCUCGGCUCAACCGAGGAACUGCGCUUGAAACUACCAGACUCGAGGGAGAUAGAGGAAAGCGGAACUGAUGGUGGAGCGGUGAAAUGCGUUGAUAUCAUCAGGAACACCGGUGGCGAAGGCGCUUUCUGGGUCUUACCUGACGCUGAGGAACGAAAGCCGGGGAGCGAAACGGGAUUAGACGUACC